GCGGCAACAGCUCAAAUUUGAAAUCUGGCCCUAGGCCCGAGUUGUAAUUUGCAGAGGAUGUUUCUGGCGAGGUGCCUUCCGAGUUCCCUGGAACGGGACGCCAUAGAGGGUGAGAGCCCCGUACGGUUGGUCGCUAAGCCUCUGUGAAACUCCUUCGACGAGUCGAGUAGUUUGGGAAUGCUGCUCUAAAUGGGAGGUAUACGUCUUCUAAAGCUAAAUACCGGCCAGAGACCGAUAGCGCACAAGUAGAGUGAUCGAAAGAUGAAAAGCACUUUGAAAAGAGGGUUAAAUAGUACGUGAAAUUGUUGAAAGGGAAGCGCUUAUGACCAGACUUGGACCGGUUGAUCAUCCAUCGUUCUCGGUGGUGCACUCUGCCGGUUCAGGCCAGCAUCAGUUCGUCCCGGGGGAUAAAGGCUUUGGGAAUGUGGCUCUUCGGAGUGUUAUAGCCCAUUGCGUAAUACCCUGGGAUGGACUGAGGUUCGCGCUCCGCAAGGAUGCUGGCGUAAUGGUCAUCAGUGACCCGUCUUGAAACACGGACCAAGGAGUCGUCUUCGUAUGCGAGUGUUCGGGUGUCAAACCCCUACGCGUAAUGAAAGUGAACGUAGGAGAGAGCUUCGGCGCAUCUCCGACCGAUCCUGAUGUUCUCGGAUGGAUUUGAGUAAGAGCAUACGGGGCCGGACCCGAAAGAAGGUGAACUAUGCUUGUAUAGGGUGAAGCCAGAGGAAACUCUGGUGGAGGCUCGCAGCGGGUUCUGACGUGCAAAUCGAUCGUCAAAUAUGAGCAUGGGGGGCGAAAGACUAAUCGAACCUUCUAGUAGCUGGGUUUCCGCCGAAG
rnacentral:rRNA from 1 species